UGUGGCUCCUGUGAUCCGGUGCCAGUUCGUUUCACGUCGUAACUACCUUUUGUUUUUGUUUCAGAUCUUCUUGGGAACAGGCAGGUGGAAAAAUUCCUGUGAAAAUAAGCUUCAGCAGCAUAUCCCAAGGGCAUCCUUUCCUUAUGCCAAUAUUGACAUUCGAACGCAAGGUGUAACAACUGGUAUAGUGUAACCUCUGCUCAACCACUACAUCUCGUUGUGAAACUGACUGUAAAGACCAGCAAAUGUCUGCUACCCCAGCUGAUAUUGAGACUACCCUCACUCUGCCCGCAAGUCCUCGCCUGAUACUGGCUGUUUCAGGAGGAACAGGGCGAGCCAUGACUGGACGCUGGAUAAUCACCCUUGAGGGAGUGUCAUAUCUGAUGGCAUCAAACCAACAUUUUUGACUGGACUUGCUGCUGUGUUUGCAAUAUACUAUAUCUUCAACCUGCAGUAUCAAGAAGAGUUGGCCCUCUUAUUAAUUAAUUCGGAGGUUUCCAUUUAGUCUCUGAACUUCCGGGGUAAGGUUGUCUCCAAGAAGACUGGUGAGAUGGUCCAGAGGAAGACUAUGACAGUGAAUACACACAUCUCCACACUACUGAAGAACCUCAUCGACUUUGAAUGGGACUUCGUAUAUUGCAACAAUGAAUCCAGUGAGAGCAACAACUAGCAUGAUGUUGAUGCAAGUGAUGUUCAUCUCUACCAGAACCAGACUCCUAAAGCAUGUUGCUACUGAUGUAUAUUUUCAAAUAGUUCUUUCUGAUGUUUGUCUUCAGAAUAUUCUUAAUACACUUUUUAAAAUGUAAGUUUUAAUAGAGUUUUUAUUUUUAUUUUUAUUUUUUACAAAUGUUGCUUUUAAUUAAUACUAUUACAACAUAUACAUAUAAAUACAUCUUAUGUCUCAGGUGUUAUCUUGUUUGGUAAGGGACUCUCUGACAUGCAAUUGAUGAAAAAUUCCCAUUGAUUUGAGCAGACAUUAUUAGGCACUUUUUAUUUUGCUACUCAAAAAUUCUUUUGGUUUGUCUCUCUGGGUCAUCCAUGUUUUCUGCUGUUGUUUUUCACAGUUAACAGCUAUAAUGUUGACACUUGCCUAUUAAGUAAAGGUGUGUUUGAUUUA